UGGGGAAUAUUGGGCAAUGGGCGCAAGCCUGACCCAGCAACGCCGCGUGAAGGAUGAAGGUUUUCGGAUUGUAAACUUCUUUGAUCGGGGACGAAAUUGACGGUACCCGAAAAACAAGCCACGGCUAACUACGUGCCAGCAGCCGCGGUAAUACGUAGGUGGCGAGCGUUAUCCGGAAUUACUGGGCGUAAAGGGCGUGUAGGCGGGAAGACAAGUCAGGAGUGAAAUCCCAGGGCUUAACCCUGGAGCUGCUUCUGAAACUGUUUUUCUUGAGUAUCGGAGAGGAAAGUGGAAUUCCCAGUGUAGCGGUGAAAUGCGUAGAGAUUGGGAGGAACACCAGUGGCGAAGGCGACUUUCUGGACGAUUACUGACGCUGAGGCGCGAAAGCGUGGGGAGCAAACA
rnacentral:rRNA from 1 species